rnacentral:lncRNA from 1 species
CAUGAAAAGAAUGCAAGUGCACAGUGCUGGCAAGAAGAGAGGCUGUUUGUAGCAUCAAUUGUGUAACAUGUGAGAAAGGGGAGCUGUCAUCCUGGUGAACGUGAAGAAACAGGAUCUGAGUGCAGAGAGUGGCUGUGGCUGAGUUUGAACUGCGAUGCAGGGACAGGCAGCUCCUGUUCUGAUCUCUGCAUGUGCCUGAUCCACGGACAGAACGUGGCUUUUUCCAUUUCCUGGCUGGAGGAGUCAAACCAACACACCCCAAACUGUGGCAUGUGGUCUUACUGAUCAGCCUUGAACACUCAAAGAAAAAUCUGCCUGCUCUGAAUAUUGCCUGAGGAUUUAGAAAGGUCUUU